rnacentral:lncRNA from 1 species
CCGACCCCCAAAUCAACAAGUUUAAUCCUCAAGCCAUGGUUAACAAAUUUUUCGGUUAUCAAACCACUUUUAAAAUCUAAAAUCAACAUCAUACAUAUACAUCCAACGAAGAUUCAAGCAUUUAAGCACACCACUCCUACGUAUCCACAACAACGAUCAAUAUCUUACUAAAAAUUCAAUCAAAACACAAAAUCACGACAUUAACCAAAAUCCGAGAAAACGAAAGAGUAGAGUUAAAGAGAUGGACCUUAAUAGAACUCGUUAUUGUUGAUAAUAAAGAAACCCGAGACCCGAAAUCCUCAAACGGAGAACCCCAACGUCAAACAAACUCGAUCAGUGACCCCAAAACCGCCUCAUUAGGUGACAGUGAAUCAAUCAAGGCUCGGUCGAAACUCUCGAACGGAAAACCUCGACUCCGAGCUUGCGAAUUGAAUAGAACCGGUUCGAAACACAAUAAGCCCCCAAAAAUACGAGUCGAACAGAAAUCCAAAAAUUCACACGGACAACCGAAACAGAGAUUGCGAUGAGAAAACCAAGAUACCAUAUAAUUUCUGGCGGAACUUGGCUGGAAUCAAAUUCAGAAUGAACAGGAACAACAAAUUGGAAUCCGCUAUAAAAGCUGAAGUCCAACCCAAAUCAAAAACGAAGAACAAAUGUGUCCGAAACAAGAAGGUUAAGUGAAAAGGAACUUGACCUGUGUAGUCGGAGCUCCGACAAGUUCAGACUGCAUCCAGAAAAUGAUGAAAACAGAUCGAAUUUCAGCGACGGAUAGUGUUCCCGAUGAGAUCUCAACGGCUUCUAGUGUUCCUCGCCCAAUCCUCUUUUCAAACUACAUCUAUUUUUUUUCUUCUUAUCACUGUGUGCGUGUGCCUUCUUCUCUGUGUAAAUCCAUGUAAGUGAAGUGUGUUUAUGGAAAUUGAGGUGUGUUUUUGUGUCGAUAGGCUACUGUUUGAUGAAUCUUGUGUAUUCUCUCUGUUGGGAGCUCCAAAAAUAGAAAAGAUGGAGAUCCGUGGCUUCCUUUCUCUUUUUCUUCCUUUUCGAAAAGAAAAUCCCUCUGUAGCUCACUGUCUAUCUCUCGCCCCUUCUCUUCUCUCUCACGCUCAAAUUCCCCCAAACCCCUGUUAUUCUCCUCCUAUGCUACUGAUUCUUUGUUGCUCAAUUGUGUGCGCAUGUAUUCCGGUGAAGUUUUUUCCCAGUGAUGGUGUAUGAAUGUGCAGUCGAGUGUGUGCUAUCGUGAUUCGUGCGUUGUGUAGAAGAAAAGAAAAUGGAGUGUCUAUUACGUUAAGAAGACGGUGGCUGUGUAAUUCAGUGAAGGCGAGUGGAGUUCUGUGUGUCUUUUUUGGUUACUGUGAUAGUGCCAAAUUGUGAGACUGUGAGAGUAUGUGUGUGUUUUUCAUUGUGAG